rnacentral:rRNA from 1 species
CUAGCUGGUCUGAGAGGAUGACCAGCCACACUGGAACUGAGACACGGUCCAGACUCCUACGGGAGGCAGCAGUGGGGAAUAUUGCACAAUGGGCGCAAGCCUGAUGCAGCCAUGCCGCGUGUAUGAAGAAGGCCUUCGGGUUGUAAAGUACUUUCAGCGGGGAGGAAGGGAGUAAAGUUAAUACCUUUGCUCAUUGACGUUACCCGCAGAAGAAGCACCGGCUAACUCCGUGCCAGCAGCCGCGGUAAUACGGAGGGUGCAAGCGUUAAUCGGAAUUACUGGGCGUAAAGCGCACGCAGGCGGUUUGUUAAGUCAGAUGUGAAAUCCCCGGGCUCAACCUGGGAACUGCAUCUGAUACUGGCAAGCUUGAGUCUCGUAGAGGGGGGUAGAAUUCCAGGUGUAGCGGUGAAAUGCGUAGAGAUCUGGAGGAAUACCGGUGGCGAAGGCGGCCCC